GAAUAGGCCAAGAUAGGAUAGGAAUGGCUAAGGUAAGAUAGAAUAGUUUAAGGUAGGAUAGGAAUGGUUAAGGUAAGAUAGGAUAGGAUGUUGUAGGAUAAGAAUGUGUAGGAUAGGAAAAUAUAGGAUAGGAACGGCUGAGAUAUAAUAGAAUAGGAUAAGGAAGGAUAGGAAUGCCAAUUGUAAGAUAGAAUAGGAUGUGGUAGGAUUAGAAUGGGUAAGAUAGGAUGGAAUAGCAUAAGGUAGCAUAGGAACGGCUAAGAUAUGAUAGAAUAAGCUGGUUAGGAAAGAGUAAUAUGAGAUAGAAUAGGAUAAGGUACGAUAGGAACAGCUGAGGUAUGAUAGAAUCGUAUAAGAUAGGAACGGCUAAGAUAGCAUUAGGUAGGAUAGCAACGGGUAAGCUAAGAUAGAAUAGGAUGUGGUAGGAUGAAAAUGGCAAAGAUAUGAUAGGAUAAGGUGGUAUAGAAACGGCUAAUAUAAGA